GAUGAACGCUAGCGGCAGGCCUAAUACAUGCAAGUCGAACGGUGUCUUCGGAUAUAGUGGCGCACGGGUGCGUAACACGUAUGCAACCUACCUUACAUCGGGGGAUAGCCUUUGGAAACGGAGAUUAAUACAGCAUAAGACAGUAACAUGGCAUCAUGUAGCUGUUAAAGCUUUGGCGAUGAUAGAUGGGCAUGCGUCCAAUUAGUUAGUUGGUGAGGUAAUGGCCCACUAAGACGAUGAUUGGUAGGGGAUCUGAGAGGAUAAUCCCCCACUCUUGCACUGAAUAACGGGCCAGAGCCCUACGAGAGGCAGAAGUAGGGAAUAUUGGGCAAUAGACGAAUGUCUGACCCAGCCGUGCCGCGUGCAGGAAGAAGGCGUUAUGCGUUGUAAACUGCUUUUUUAUAGGAAGAAGGAGACCUUGCGAGGUUUGGUGACGGUACUAUAAGAAUAAGCACCGGCUAACUCCGUGCCAGCCGCCGCCGUAAAAC
rnacentral:rRNA from 1 species